rnacentral:rRNA from 1 species
UGGGGAAUCUUCCGCAAUGGGCGCAAGCCUGACGGAGCAACGCCGCGUGAGUGAAGAAGGGUUUCGACUCGUAAAGCUCUGUUGUCGGGGACGAAUGUGGAGAUGGUGAAUAACCAUUUUCAAUGACGGUACCUGACGAGGAAGCCACGGCUAACUACGUGCCAGCAGCCGCGGUAAUACGGAGGAUGCGAGCGUUAUCCGGAUUUAUUGGGUUUAAAGGUGCGCAGGCGGCGCGCCAAGUCAGCGGUCAAAGUUCCGGGCUCAACCCGGUGUCGCCGUUGAAACUGGCGUGCUCGAGUGCGUGCGAGGAAGGCGGAAUGCGUUGUGUAGCAGUGAAAUGCAUAGAUAUGACGCAGAACUCCGAUUGCGAAGGCAGCUUUCCAGCGCGCUACUGAC